rnacentral:tRNA from 1 species
UGGCUCAGUCGGUUGAGCAUCUGACUCCAGCUCAGGUCAUGAUCUCACAGUUUGUGGGUUUGAGCCCCAC